GAUGAACGCUGGCGGCGUGCCUAAUACAUGCAAGUCGAGCGAACAGACGAGGAGCUUGCUCCUCUGACGUUAGCGGCGGACGGGUGAGUAACACGUGGAUAACCUACCUAUAAGACUGGGAUAACUUCGGGAAACCGGAGCUAAUACCGGAUAAUAUAUUUAACCGCAUGGUUCAAUAGUGAAAGACGGUUUUGCUGUCACUUAUAGAUGGAUCCGCGCCGCAUUAGCUAGUUGGUAAGGUAACGGCUUACCAAGGCAACGAUGCGUAGCCGACCUGAGAGGGUGAUCGGCCACACUGGAACUGAGACACGGGCCAGACUCCUACGGGAGGCAGCAGUAGGGAAUAUUGCGAAAUGGGCGAAAGCAUGACGGAGCAACGCCGCGUGAGUGAUGAAGGUCUUCGGAUCGUAAAACUCUGUUAUUAGGGAAGAAAAAAUGUGUAAGUAACUAUGCACGUCUUGACGGUACCUAAUCAGAAAGCCACGGCUAACUACGUG
rnacentral:rRNA from 1 species